rnacentral:lncRNA from 12 species
CCGCUCUCCUCCCCCCCCCGCAGCAGGUGCACCCGGGAGGGGGUGCACGGGGGCCCGAGGGCAGCUGCCAACCAGGGUUCAGACGCGGAGGCGGCGCAGGUGCAGGUGCAGGUGCAGGUGCAGGGACCUCGGGGCUCGGCCGCUUCCUGUGGCCCCGCGCACCCCCCCCCCCGCCGCAGUGCGCAGGUGCGAAGGUGCCUGCGGAGGUCCACGGGCUGGGGGCGGGGGGCUCCAGGCAGCGCCCUCGCCGCCGACCCGCAGGUGCCGGAGCGCAGCCGGGUCAGGCCCCAGGCGGGCCCUGCACCCCCCAGGAGGGCCCGGCUCAGCGGGCGGGGCUCCCCGAGAGGCCGCGGUUGCCUGCGGGGCUCCCGAGGGUCUUCCCCGCGGCGCAUCCCCUCCCGCGGCAGCUGAAAGGUGGACUGCUGUCUUCUGAGGACAUUGUGUAGAUUUCUUUCCCCUCUUUUAAGUCUACGUAAGUAUAACAGAUGAGAUGCUAAGUAACCUCAAUGCAAUGUUUUCUAUUCUGAGAACUCUUCCAUGGAGAAUUUUGACUACAAGGUAGAGGAACCACACUGUAUUUGUGCAGAAAAAAAUAUACUUCAAGCAUAUUUUUGUAUAUCAAGUGAUAGUGUGCUAUCCUUGUGUUUUAGACGAGACCAAAAUAAUUAAAAUGGUAAAAAGAACUCAUCCAACAAGAUGAUCAUCCAAAAGUGUUAUAGGUCAACUUGCUGACACUAUGUUCUUUUCGAACAUUCUAGAAAAAGUUAUUGUGCAUGUCUCAGUUUUCAACCUAGGAUAUAAGGCCUGCAUGGGCAGGGAUUUACGUCUGCUUUACUAAUCAUAUAUAUAUAUACACACACACACACACUCAUUAUGUAUAUAUACACACAUAUAUUACAUAUAUUUUACAUAUAAUUACAUUUAUAAUAAUAGGUAAUCAGUAAAUUCCUAAUAAUAGGUAAUAUAAAAGUAAAUAUAUCUUGAUAAGCAAUGGGUCAGAAAGUAUGAUAAUUGUUCUGUAUUUUAUUUAACUUGGGUACUAGCACAUGCUGCUUGAGGAAGCUACAUUUGUAUUUUCCUACUAUAUCUAAUAAUAUUGUGUUACAUAAAAUAUGUGCAACAUAACAAAAGGUCAUGUUUAAGUGGAUAUGGUGGUCAUAUUACAUUGAAGCUGUAUUUGAACCCAGUAUCAUUAUUGCUAAGAUAUCAGCUAUACAUUAUAGAAUGAUGAGAAAUAUAGCGGAGCUCUAAGAAGAAAAUAAUAGUCACCCAAAGUCACAGCAGCCAAAAGAUAGCAAGAUAAAUACCAUUUGUAUUUUGGAGAAUAAUUUUGCACUUGCAUAUAAAUUACUAUACUCCAAGACUGCCCUGACAAUUCUGUUUAAUACUGUCACAUAUCAAAAUACAUUUAGAAUUACCUACUUUAAAUUUAGCGAUAUUGUAGCCUUGAAGAGUGUAUAUUGUAUGAAUGAGUGUGUUGUUACAGUUAUACUUGUAAUAAUUAUUUAUGUAACUAUUUAGUCAUUGAUUUUAUACUGUGUUUGAGGCAUCUAUUAUGAUCCAGAAAUAGCUGUAGAUAAUUUCUUGCAAUUGAAGAACUUUAGGUCUGAGAAAGGAAAGUACAAAUGAGAACCUUAAAAGUGUGCUCGAAGUGAUAGACUACAGGAAGAACACGGUGUAGGAAUAUAAACUAUAUCAGUGCUUCUAAAAUCAUGUCUAAAGCAUCAUUACCCUCUCAUCUGUCAUAAACUAAUACUUCUGAAGAAUCCAACAAGAAACUGAAAUUCCGGAAAAAUGAAAACAAAACAUGGAACAUAUCAAUUUUCAUUAUUAGGUUUGGUAAGGAUAAAAGUAUAUCCAAUAGAUCAAAAUAAACAUAGCAUUAAAAAAAGAAAAUAUUCA